rnacentral:rRNA from 1 species
CUUUUUGAGAAUUUGAUCCUGGUUCAGGAUGAACGCUGGCGGCGUGCCUUAAGCAUGCAAGUCAAGGGGUCCCGCAGCAAUGCGGGAAACCGGCAGACGGGUGAGUAAUGCGUAGGAAUCUACCUCUAGGUGGACCAUAGCUCAUCGAAAGAUGGGGUAAUAGUCCAUAGUCCCUGAGAGAAAUCGAAUGGGUAAAGCGAUUAACUUCGCGCCAAGAGAGGAGCCUACGUCCUAUCAGCUAGUUGGUGGGGUAAUGGCCUACCAAGGCUCUGACGGGUAGCUGGACUGAGAGGUCGAUCAGCCACAACUGCACUUAGACACGGGCAGUACACCUACGGGUGGCAGCAACCAGGAAUAUUGGGCAAUGGACGAAAGUCUGACCCAGCGACGCCGCGUGGAGGAAGAAGGCCUUAGGGUCGUAAACUCCUUUUGAUAGUCUCUUCACGGACUAUAGAAUAAGCCUCUACUAACUACGUGCCAGAAGUCUCGGUAAUGCGUAGGAGGCUAGCGUUAUC